GGGGGUAUAGCUAAGUGGUAAAGCACAUACUUAAUAUGCAUGAGACCCAGUGCCCUCA
rnacentral:tRNA from 1 species